AGAAUGUUUUUUUUUUAAGUCUCUUCUUUGUCGGACCCUGUUUUUGAAUUUUGUUCUGAAAUGUUGAGAGUAAACAAAUUUGUCUGGGUCUAAAAAAAAAAAAAAAAGGCUGCAAACCCCUUGUCUGAGAGAGCCUCUUAUUCCCAAACCCCUUGGUUUAUACUUAAUAAUUUAUUCUAAGGACAUACAGCUAGUUCAGUGGUAAGACCAGAACUAGGACCAAGGCAAGUGAUUUCCACUGAGUCCUCUUUCCACUAUACUAUCCUGCCUCUUUUCCAUGUUUAGUUAGCAAAGUGGUACAGUGAACAAAGUUCUAGACUUAAGAGUCAGGAAGACCUAAGUUGAAAUCCAGCCUCAGUUAUUUACUCUCUGUUUGAAGUUGGGCAAGUCAUUCAUUCUCUGACUCAGUUUCCUCAUUCGUUAAGUGGGGGUACUAAUUGCAACCCUGGGAGGUAACCACAUUUUAUAGUAGAGGGAAAAAGAAGUUAGGUAACUUGCCCAGUGUCCCCCAGCUAGUAGGUAUCUGAAGCAGGAUUUGAACUCGGUUUUUCCUGACUCCAAGUCCAGCACUUUAUGCAUUGUACUGUGAAAAAAAAAAUAGUUUGAACACAUCUGUUACUUUUCCUUGAAUGGAGAGGUAGCUUAAUAUAGUGGAUACUUAAAGUCAGAAAAUCCUGGGUUCAAAUCACUCUGAGAUCACUCUAUUAUUCUAUGCAAAUCACGUAACUUGUCAGCCUCAGUUUCCUCAUCUCUAAAACAGGAUAAUAAUAUAACCCUUAUCUCACAGGAUUGUUGUGAGGAUCAAAUGAAACAUUAGUUUUUUCAUCUCAUUUUUUCUUAUCUUGGUCAAAGGAGGUCAGAUAGAAGCAGUCCUGUUAGUUCUCUAUCUUGCCCUUAUCUUUACUGUUCUGUGAGCUUCUUCUUGGGUGUAUAAAUGAUGAUGUUGACAUUGUCACACGUUUUACCUUAUAAAUGAGCUGUAAAAUCAAAUCUAGCUUUCCAGAAGGAAAAG
rnacentral:lncRNA from 1 species